rnacentral:rRNA from 1 species
UACAGAGGUCUCAAGCGUUGUUCGGAUUCAUUGGGCGUAAAGGGUGCGUAGGCGGCGCGGUAAGUCGGGUGUGAAAGCCCCUGGCUCAACCAGGGAGGGUCAUUCGAUACUGUUCGACUCGAAGGCAGGAGAGGGAAGUGGAAUUCCGGGGUGUAGUGGUGAAAUGCGUAGAUAUCCGGAGGAACACCAGUGGCGAAGGCGACUUUCUGGCCUGUUCUUGACGCUGAGGCGCGAAAGCUAGGGGAGCAAACGGG